GAUGAACGCUGGCGGCGUGCCUAAUACAUGCAAGUCGAGCGAAUGGAUUAAGAGCUUGCUCUUAUGAAGUUAGCGGCGGACGGGUGAGUAACACGUGGGUAACCUGCCCAUAAGACUGGGAUAACUCCGGGAAACCGGGGCUAAUACCGGAUAACAUUUUGAAUCGCAUGGUUCGAAAUUGAAAGGCGGCGUCGGCUGUCACUUAUGGAUGGCCCCGCGUCGCAUUAGCUAGUUGGUGAGGUAACGGCUCACCAAGGCAACGAUGCGUAGCCGACCUGAGAGGGUGAUCGGCCACACUGGGACUGAGACACGGCCCAGACUCCUACGGGAGGCAGCAGUAGGGAAUCUUCCGCAAUGGACGAAAGUCUGACGGAGCAACGCCGCGUGAGUGAUGAAGGCUUUCGGGUCGUAAAACUCUGUUGUUAGGGAAGAACAAGUGCUAGUUGAAUAAGCUGGCACCUUGACGGUACCUAACCAGAAAGCCACGGCUAACUACGUGCCAGCCGCCGCAGUAA
rnacentral:rRNA from 1 species